GGGGCAAUAGCUCAGUUGGUAGAGCGCCUGCUUUGCACGCAGGAGGUCUAGGGUUCGAAUCCCUAUUGCUCCACCA
rnacentral:tRNA from 1 species